AGGACCGGUGAGCUCCCCACCGGCGACCUUGAGCAAAAAGCCACGCACGGCCCCCGGUACGAGUGGGGGAAGCCCCCAGGUCGGGACGGGGGCGCGGCGACGGCGGCAGCAGCGGGUGUGGGCGAGGCCGCCCAGACCACAAGCAAGCCGGCGGUCUUGGGAGCAGGUGCGCCCGGCAACCUGAUCGGGUACAGUUGCUCUUUCUUUUCCUUUCAAGCACCUAACACUUUUUCUGCUUUCUCAUCCAGGACCAGGAAGCGUUGCCGGGGCCGACCCGGCAACGAUCGACGACGGCCGCCAAGAGGCGUCCGACGCAGGGGGAGGGGACACUGCGCAAGGUACAACAGGCCCGCCACAGCAUCCCCCCCGUCGCUUCUUUAUGUGUUGUACUUCACUUCUUCUUAACAGUUCUCCUUGCAGCCCCUCCUGCCGCUGCAUGAGCGGAGGCCGCAGAACUCACCCCAGCGGGCACCGUGACCGACACGGAAACCACCCCUGAGGUGACGGUGGAGCAACCCCCCACCGGACAGAGCGGGGACGGAGGGGGCUCUCCUGACAUCCAAGCCGCCGACCCGGUGUUAAUCGAGGAGGCAGCGGCCACCGGGUCUGAGCCCCUCAAUCACACCGCGACGGAGGCCAGCCGCCGCCCAGCCCCCAGGCAGGGGCAAGGGACGAGCUCGCGGCCGGUGGAAGCGGGAGGGUGCGGUCACCUUUGCCGCCACCCGAGGAGGUGGUGCGGUCACAAAUGGUGGCCGCAGGUGCCUACUCGAGUUCCGGGGCGAUCGCGGGCGCCGGCUGGGGUCUGCUGAACUGGGACCCUAGCAUCUUCGACCAGGGGCACGAGAUCAUAGAGGGCAUCAAGUGGCAGCAGCUGGGAUUCGUCAGCUGCUACAACAGGGUGCGCCAACAGCUCUCGGCAGCCCAGGGUCGGCUAGACGGCGCACGGGAGGAGGUUGAGGAGCGUCGGCAGGAGCUGGCGCGCCUCCAGGAGGAGAUCUGGGUGGCGCAGCUAGCCCGAGCCGAGGCAUUCGAGCCCUCGGUCCCGGAAGCACACGCCCAGCGCCAGCUACAAGAGCUGCGUGUGGAGCACCAGCAGGUGCUCGAGUCGCUGGAGGCGGCGCGCCUUCGCGUCGAGGGGGAGCACCAGGAAGCACUAAGGGGCUUCCAGGAGCGCCUCGAUGAGAAAAGUGGCCUCAUCUCUAGCUACUCCUCCGAGAUCCAGCAGCUGUGGCAGCAACUCGGGGAGCAGGCCAUGGCAGCCCAGGCUGUGGCGACGCGAGCCGCGUCCCGGGAGAAGGAGUUGCAGGAGUAGUUCCAAACCCAGGAACGCGAGUUCCAGGAGCAGCUCAAGGCCACGACCGACGCCAACGCAGCCCUGAAGGGCGAGCUGGACGUCGCGAGGGGCGAUCUUCGACAGCUUGACGAGGAAAACUCGGAGAAGACAUCGAAGAUCUCUGGGCUGAAGGACGAGCUCUGGAGCCAGAAGGCGGAGACCGAGCUCGCCUGCCGCAACUAUGCGAAGCUCGGGAGCCAGCGCUAAGAGAGCACGGCCCUGCUCCGCAAGUUGGCGGAGGUGGGGAACGAGUCGCUGGCAAAGCGGGGGGUACCCCCGGUAGCCAUCGACGGCAGCGACGUCAGCACCCUCAUCCCCUUCUUCGUGGAGUUCGUGGGGAGGCUGACAGCCGUGGAGGACCUUAUCCGUAGCUUCGGGGACCGGCAAAUGUGUGUCGCCGCAUCUCAGGUUGCCGGCGCCAUCCUGCCGAGGGUCCACCAAGCCUUCCCGGAGUUCCCCUUCGAGACCAUCUUCAACGACUGGUUGCCGGAGGAGAACAAGGAGGAGCACGCCAAUGCCGUCAGACGCUUCGUCGAGGAGAGGGUUGCGCGGAUGACGGGGCAGGCUGGUGCUGGUGACGAUGAGGAGGAGGUCGCCGUCGAGGAGACGCCCGCUGUCGAGUCCGCCGCCCCGGAGGCACCCCCUGCGUAGCCGUUCCUUGUAGUUUUCUUCUUCUUUUUGUACUCCUGCAACUGGCACAAGGCGCCUUAUUUCGUGUUAGCCUUUUGCCAUUCUGAAUGUCAUCCGUGAACUCAUUCGUUUGAAUUUUAUUAUAUCCAAUGCUAUUUUACUUGCUUUUUCGCCUAAGACUAGCUUGCCGAGGAAGGGCUCUGUCCUUCCCGUGCUUUAACCUUGCGUAUCCGGGGACUCGCCAACUACGUGCUUGGCCAGACUAGGGACCCGGGACGGACCCGCGGUGCCGACCUAGGGCCAAAUUGUAGCGGCUAGUCACUCCUCGUGUGGGUUAACUACCUGUAACAACCCGAGAGCAACACUUUACAUUUAAGCCCUUGUUGGACCUGUUUGUAAUUGAAUUAAUGUUGCAUAACAUUUUACAUUUGCAUCCAUGCCAUGUCAUCCCUUCUUUGCUUCGCAUAAUUUGAAAAUUACAUUUUUAACUUGUGGUUUGAAAUCUUGUUGUUUGAUUUUUCUAGAAGAUUCAAAUAUGAAUCGUCCUUCCUUCUUUGAGUUUAAAUUCCUUUUCCGAUAUUUUACAAAUGAUAUUCAAAUGGGUUUUGUUUUUAAACCUUUGCCCCAUUUGAAUAUUUCCCAAAUAGUAGUACCAUAUUUGAAUUCUCCUACUUCUCAGCUUUUCAAAAUGGUAUUUGAAUUUUGAAUCAAAAGCUAUUUGCAAAAGAGAAAACAGAAAACAGAAAAAGGAAAAAGGAAAAAGAAAAAAAAUACUUACCUCAGGCCCGAGCCGGCCCAGCAGCCGCCUCGGCCCAUUCUCCCGCGCGCCCCGCAGCCCAGCUCGGCCCAACAGCCCGGCGCACCGCCCCGCAUAGCGCUUUUCCUCAGCGAAGGCGCCUUCCGCGAAGUACGCCACCUCUCACAGAGUCUUCUUCCUCCUCCGGCCUCCCUCUGCUUUUCCCUUGUUCUGCACUCAGGUAGCGCCACGUCCUCCCUUUUGACGCGACGGCCUCUGCUGCGCCUCCUAUUUGAGCCGCUCCGCGCCCUCCUCUCAGCCCUAGCGCAGGGAAAGCCCUAGACGGACUUUCCUCCCUCUCUUUCUGUUCGUCGCCGCCAUCUUCUUCCUGGCCGCGGGCACUUUCACGUCAUGCCGCCGUUCCAGCCCGAACCAAGAAGAACCGCGCGCGUCACCUUGUUCGCCCGAAGCUGCUCUUCGUCUGGACGCAAGGAAUCGGAAGGGGAUCGACUACGUGAGGGCGCAUCGACCCCAACUCUCCCUUCGACCGCCACCACUCUCCGACGAAAUUCUGGCGAGGAGAGCCUCCCCUCGGACCAUCUUGUGCACGGUGAGCUCCGCCUCGUCGUUGCGCAUCUGGCGCUCCCUCUCUCCCUCUUUUUGGUUCCCUGUAACACGAGAAUGACGGAGACCACACCCUGGACGCCGCCGGUGAGCUUCUGCUCCAUGCCGCGCGCGCGUGCCAGAGGGAGUCGUGCGCUAGCUAUCGUGCUAGCUUGCCCUACGUGAAGCGCCGGAACAAAAGGCCAUGCCUUUGCACGCUUUGCCGUUCGUUUGGUUCGCCGGCGUCGUGCCGUUCCAUGGCCAUCGUGGGCGAGCCCAUGGACCGGCCUGUGGGCUUUGUUCUUAAUGAACGAAGCGGCUGGAUCUACAAGAUCCGUGUCUUACCACAGUGGCGCUCCCUUUGCCAGCGCGCCUCGACGCGGGUUCGAUUCCUCCCCGGUGCGGAAUAAAACCCCCAAUUUUUGGAGUUUCACCGGCCACUGACAUGUCAGUUGCCUGGUGCACCGCUGCACCCGGUGGACUGAGUCCAUGCGCCGGAUCCGCGUGGUUUUUUUCCUUUUGGUUUUUGUUUAAUUGCAUGAAAUUGUUUUAUCUUGUUUAAAUCCUAGUAAAUGCAUGCUAAAUCCAAUUUGGGCAAACCAUAUAUGUUUUGAAAUCAGAAAAAUGUAAGGAAUUUAACUGUGCUGUUAGUUUUUCAUUUUGACGUUUUGAAUUUCAAAUCUGUCCCAGAUUUGAAAUUCAAACGUAUGAACUUGUUUAGUCUCUAAUUUAAAACUAGUAGCUCAUCUGUAUUAAAGUAAACAUCAAAGUUGAUCCUUGUAACUUGUAGAACAUAGUAGCAUACUUGGUUAGGCCAUUUGAGUCCUUUAAAGCUGCUGUUGACUUUAAUUAAGUCACCUAAUGAUUAACUUUGAUGCUAAUGGAAUCAAUUCGUUUGCAUAUUGUUGCAUCAUGAUGUCACAUGUCAUUUCAUGUCGUAUUGUGCAUCGCACCUAUUGAUUGUUACCUUAUUUGUGUAUUCGGUGUUUUGGUUCUUUACGAUAGCGACUCCGACUUACUCCGUCGACGAUCCGAGUUCCCACACUUCUUCGGACCCCCUCUCUCGGUGCCCAGCGACCGAGGAUCCAGGCAAGCAGCCAUUCCUUGAACAUGUUGUUUAUACCCAAUGUCUCUUUCUCAUUCUUGCACUAAGUUACGUUCUCAGUUCUUGUCACGAUGCCUCUAGGAUUGCAUAGCUUUAGUCAGCUCUACUCAAAUGCCUGUUGUCUUGUUCCUUAUCCUAUGACCAUGUCACAUGUUUGUUCUUCUGCCCUAGUUGGUCAUUAGAAGUUUUUCUUAGCUUGCUAGUCUAGUGUCCUUACUUGGGGUUAUACAAUUGCUACAUCCACAUGCUACUUUCUGUAUUUAAUUGCAAUUAUUAAACUGUGACAUGUUAUAUUACCUGCACAAGGCAACGAUGGGAGGCUGUGCUAACGCAUUGGUUUUUUGUUCCAUUGGCGCCGACCUAAGGACCGAGUUCUCGUUUUCGCCGACUGAAGAAACUUCGUGCUAACCGCUCGUGGGAGAAUAUAUGGGUUCCCCCUCAGCUUAGUACUCGUUUCAUAGCUCUUCCAGGGGCCACAUAGUUCGGGCAUUCCAUUUGGCAUAUCGCAUAUACACUGGUGUUGUGUUGGAGACUUGUUGGUAACCUUGCAUUCAUAUAGGAUUGCUGCACUAGUCUGGAGUGGUCAUCCUGCGGGCCCUAAACCACUACCAGCUGUCCUCGCAACUCUUGAGUCCGUACGAUGCUUCGGCCGGGCUCUCGUUUUGGAUUAGACUCAGUUGGGUGGUCCUCUGAAUUAGUUGUGGGGCUUGAAAACGUCGUGUCGCCCAAUCCUGCCGACACACGUCUUUGUGUGUUCCUACUCGAGUGGCAACAAGGGUUGGAUGAACAUGUACGGGGAAAUUGGCACACCCUGUAGGGAUAAAUCUUUUCGGAAAUCCGUGUCUGCGGUUAUGGACGACUUGGUUGGUCAUUACUUGAUCAUAGAGAACUUAAUCUUUUAAUCAACUUAAUCUCAUAAACUUGAGUAGUAAUUAGCCUUAAUCAUGGAUAUGCUUAAAACUGCUUAAGUGUGAGUGUCUUUGGAUCAUUUCCUCACAAGGGGUUGAGGGGGUAAUAAGAUGUUGCGUUUAUUUGGUGUUAGUUAUUAGAAGAUCACCUCACUUAGUAGACGCUUCUUAUCCUCUACUUAGACGAUGUCAUUAGUGUGUCUCUCUAGAGAUAUUGCUGUUGCAUAACCCCACCAUAUUAUCCAUCCUUUGAGACUUGUUGCAUAUCUAGUUUAGAUCUCCUGUAAGUCUUGCGAGUACCUUGUACUCAGUUGCUUUGCAACGUUGUUUUCUCCAGAGUUUCCAGAGGAGCAGGUGAGUGGUUACUUCGUGGAGUUCGACGACGACAGCUUCGACGUUUAGCCAGCAGAUUCCAGAGCAGGGUUCUGUGAACUUGUGGCGGGCUCUCCUUUUAGUUUCAGCCUCUUAUGCAAGAAUUGUAACUUGUCCGUACUCGGACCUAACUUGCUUCCGCUGGUGUAAUGAUGAUUGUGGACAUGUGUCCGUGAGUUGUAAUAACUUGGUAUUUCGCUCCUUGUAUGAGCUUGGCUUAAUCUUGAGUGUUAGAGUGAUGUAAUGUUAUCAUUUUUGUUCCAACCUGCGGUGGACACAUUGCGUGUAUGUUGUGAAGUGUUCAUCGUAGGGAGGCACUGGUACUUAAUUUAUGCGCGAGUUAGCAUUUGGGGCUAAAUUGCAUAAAUUCGGUCCCGGAGUCUCACACUACCCCAGCGCGCACGCCUCCGGGACGGACCUGCGAGCCACGUGUGGGGGCUGUCCUCCCCCCGCAAGCGUCCUUCCCACGCUUCGG
rnacentral:lncRNA from 1 species